AAAGAAGACACAGGACUUAAUUUGCAUAGCAAAGGCAUUAGUAGUUGCUGCAACGUGCAAAACGCAAGGUACUACAUAAUGAGGUAUGCACACAGUGAAAUAUAUUACCAUUCGAGUUUCUAAGUUUCAGAGAUAAAAU